rnacentral:rRNA from 1 species
UUAAAAUUUAAUUUUUUUUAAUUGAUUAGUAUUAGAUAUAUUCUUGAAAAUAAAAAAUUUUGGCAGUAUUUUAGUCUAUUUAGAGGAACCUGUUUUUUAAUCGAUAUUCCACGAUUAAUUGUACUUAAUUUAAAAUUUAUAUAUCGUCGUUAUUAAAUAUUUUUUUAGAAUUAAUAUUUAAAAUUUUUAAUAAAAUAAAAUAUCAGAUCAAGGUGUAGUUAUAAUUAAGGUAAUAAUGGGUUACAAUAAAUUUAUUUAUACGGUUAGUAAUUGAAAUAUAAUUAUAAAGGUGGAUUUAAUAGUAAUUUUAAUAAUUUAAUUAAAAUGAUUUUUAGCACUAAAAUAUGU